rnacentral:misc_RNA from 1 species
GAUGAAGAACGUAGCGAAAUGCGAUAAGUAGUGUGAAUUGCAGAAUUCAGUGAAUCAUCGAAUCUUUGAACACACAUUGCGGCCAUAGGUAUUCCUUUGGCCAUGCCUGUUCGAGCGUCAUUUACACCCUCAAGCCUAGCUUGGUGUUGGGCGCCUGUCCCGCCGUUUUCGCGCGCGGACUCGCCUCAAAGUCAUUGGCGGCGGUCGUGCCGGCCCCCUCGCGCAGCACAUUUGCGCUUCUCGGAGGCCCGGCGGAUCCGCGCUCCAGCAAGACCUUUCACGACUUGACCUCGGAUCAGGUAGGGAUACCCGCUGAACUUAAGCAUAUCAAUAAGCGGAGGA